rnacentral:lncRNA from 1 species
AAGUUGGCACUAUCACAUUACCUGUUGAUCUUAUCUCUUUAAAGAUACUUGAUUUUGAUGUGAUUUUAGGAAUUGAUUGGUUAACCACUCAUCAUGCCAAAAUUGAUUGUUUUCGUAAGGUGGUUAGUUUUCAUAUUCCUAACCAACCUGUCAUACGAAUUCAAACUACUAAACCACUAAAAUCAGUCACUGUCAUAUCAAG